rnacentral:rRNA from 1 species
GGCUCAGGAUGAACGCUAGCGGCAGGCUUAACACAUGCAAGUCGAGGGGCAGCACGUCUUCGGAUGGUGGCGACCGGCGCACGGGUGCGUAACGCGUAUAGAACCUAUCUUUUACAGGGGAAUAGCCCAGAGAAAUUUGGAUUAAUGCCCCAUAGUAUUAUUGAAUGGCAUCAUUUAAUAAUUAAACAUUUAUGGGUAAAAGAUGGCUAUGCGUUCUAUUAGCUAGUAGGUAAGGUAACGGCUUACCUAGGCAACGAUAGAUAGGGGUCCUGAGAGGGAGAUCCCCCACACUGGUACUGAGACACGGACCAGACUCCUACGGGAGGCAGCAGUGAGGAAUAUUGGACAAUGGGCGAGAGCCUGAUCCAGCCAUGCCGCGUGCAGGAAGACGGUCCUAUGGAUUGUAAACUGCUUUUAUACAGGAAGAAACACUCGGACGUGUCCGAGCUUGACGGUACUGUAUGAAUAAGCACCGGCUAACUCCGUG